rnacentral:rRNA from 1 species
UCUGGUUGAUCCUGCCUGAACUGAUGUGUUCAUUUCAAAGAUUAAGCCAUGCAUGUAUAAGUUUAAUCGUUUUAACGAGAAACCGCGAACGGCUCAUUACAAUGGCCAUGAUUUACUUGAUCUUGAUUAUCUAAAUGGAUAACUGUGGAAAAGCUAGAGCUAAUACAUGCACCAAAGCUUUGUCCUCUCGGAAAAGCGCAUUUAUUAGAACAAAACCACGCGGCUUCGGCUGCUUCUUGUUGACUCAGAAUAACUAAGCUGACCGCAUGGCCUUGUGCCGGCGGCGUGUCUUUCAAGCGUCCACUUUAUCAACUUGACGGGAGCAUAAUCGACUCCCGUGGUGGUGACGGAUAACGGAGGAUCAGGGUUCGACUCCGGAGAAGGGGCCUGAGAAAUGGCCACUACGUCUAAGGAUGGCAGCAGGCGCGCAAAUUACCCACUCUCGGCUCGAGGAGGUAGUGACGAGAAAUAACGAGAUCGUUCUCUUUGAGGCCGGUCAUCGGAAUGGGUACAAUUUAAACCCUUUAACGAGUAUCAAGCAGAGGGCAAGUCUGGUGCCAGCAGCCGCGGUAAUUCCAGCUCUGCUAAUACAUAGAAUUAUUGCUGCGGUUAAAAAGCUCGUAGUUGGAUUCGUAUCGGUACCCUGGAACCCUCUGGGUGUUUCUGGGUGUUAUCGAUUUAUCGUAAUGUUCGGUUUUGAGUCCUUAACAGGAUUCUUAACAGGCAUUGCAAGUUUACUUUGAACAAAUCAGAGUGCUUCAAACAGGCGUUUUCGCUUGAAUGAUCGUGCAUGGAAUAAUAGAAAACGAUUUCGGUUCAGUUUUAUUGGUUUUACGGACUGAGAUAAUGGUUAACAGAGACAAACGGGGGCAUUUGUAUGGCCCCGUGAGAGGUGAAAUUCUUGGACCGUGGCCAGACAAACUACAGCGAAAGCAUUUGCCAAGAAUGUCUUCAUUAAUCAAGAACGAAAGUCAGAGGUUCGAAGGCGAUCAGAUACCGCCCUAGUUCUGACCGUAAACGAUGCCAACUAGCGAUCCGCCGAUGGAAAUUAUAUUGCCUUGGUGGGGAGCUUCCCGGAAACGAAAGUCUUCCGGUUCCGGGGGAAGUAUGGUUGCAAAGCUGAAACUUAAAGGAAUUGACGGAAGGGCACCACCAGGAGUGGAGCCUGCGGCUUAAUUUGACUCAACACGGGGAAACUCACCCGGCCCGGACACUGUGAGGAUUGACAGAUUGAUAGCUUUUUCAUGAUUCAGUGGAUGGUGGUGCAUGGCCGUUCUUAGUUCGUGGAGUGAUUUGUCUGGUUUAUUCCGAUAACGAGCGAGACUCUAACCUACUAAAUAGCUGGUACAUACUCUUAGUGUAUACAGCUUCUUAGAGGGAUUUGCGGUGUUCAGCCGAAAGAAAUUGAGCAAUAACAGGUCUGUGAUGCCCUUAGAUGUCCGGGGCUGCACGCGCGCUACACUGGCAAAAUCAACGUGCUUGUCCUACCCCGAAGGGGGGGUAAACCAUUGAAAAUUUGCCGUGAUUGGGAUCGGAAAUUGCAAUUAUUUUCCGUGAACGAGGAAUUCCAAGUAAGUGCGAGUCAUCAGCUCGCGUUGAUUACGUCCCUGCCCUUUGUACACACCGCCCGUCGCUGCCCGGGACUGAGCCAUUUCGAGAAAUUUGGGGACCGUUGAUUUAAUUUUUCUAAAUUACUUUGAUGGAAACCAAUUUAAUCGCAGUGGCUUGAACCGGGCAAAAGUCGUAACAAGGUAGGUGAACCUGCUGCUGGAUCAU